CAGAGAUCGGAGGCUUGAGGGUAUGUUGCUUUUAUACGUGUAGGCACUAAGUACCACCUGUAUAGGAUUUUUCGGGAUAGUUCCAUGUGGGAGGCGCAUUUGGAGAGUGAGUUAUGUGCAAGUAGAAUUUUAUUCCAUUGCUGCGCAUCGAGAGUAUAUGUGAGUUCCUUCUCCAAUGCUGCAAUGAAUGAUAGUUUUGUGUGGUCUUUUUGAGUGUGUAUCAUUUGGUAUAGUUCGGAUAUAAGUUUUUUGGGGGUUAAUAGGCCCGAGCAAAUUUUCUCUGCCACCAGAGGUUGUUAGGUCCGUGAAGCUUCUAAGUGUAUGUUCC